rnacentral:rRNA from 1 species
GACGAACGCUGGCGGCGUGCUUAACACAUGCAAGUCGAACGGAAAGGUCCUGCUUUUGUGGGGUGCUCGAGUGGCGAACGGGUGAGUAACACGUGAGUAACCUGCCCUUGACUUUGGGAUAACUUCAGGAAACUGGGGCUAAUACCGGAUAGGAGCUCCUGCUGCAUGGUGGGGGUUGGAAAGUUUCGGCGGUUGGGGAUGGACUCGCGGCUUAUCAGCUUGUUGGUGGGGUAGUGGCUUACCAAGGCUUUGACGGUAGCCGGCCUGAGAGGGUGACCGGCCACAUUGGGACUGAGAUACGGCCCAGACUCCUACGGGAGGCAGCAGUGGGGAAUAUUGCACAAUGGGCGGAAGCCUGAUGCAGCAACGCCGCGUGCGGGAUGACGGCCUUCGGGUUGUAAACCGCUUUCGCCUGUGACGAAGCGUGAGUGACGGUAAUGGGUAAAGAAGCACCGGCUAACUACGUG